rnacentral:lncRNA from 1 species
AUGGCCCCUAAGCGGAAGCAAUCUCUUCACUUCCUGCAACGGAAACGUCGGGAGAAGGUCGUGGACCAUUUAUUCUCAGCGUCAUCAGGUAGUUCCUCUGAGAAUACGCUGGCUGGAGGAAGCCCACUCCCAAGCUCAAGUCAUCCAGAUUCAUCAUCAUCUCCACUUGCUGACUUAGUGCCUCAGUCAUCUCCAUCCAGAUCUCAUCCGAACCUCUCCCAGAAUGAGCUCAGUGAUGGCAGCUCGGACGAUGAAGAAACUGAUGAUGAUGUAUUUGUAGAUACAGUUCAGCAUCCGCCAGAUUUAGAAAGCAAUGCAGGAUUACCUACUAACACUUUUUUUUCUUCCGACAGCGAGUUUGAAGAUGCCGAGGAGGUAGGUGACUCUUCGCAAUCUAACUUCGAUGAUGCAGCUGAUGCCUACGAUAGUGCACCACUAUUCGAGCCUACAAGGAUGCAGAAACUGAGAGAGAAUCUCCGCAUUUGGGCACUGAUGUGCAAUAUAACCCUUCUUGCUCUUACGAAACUGUUGCACCUUUUGAAACUGUGCGACGAAGAUUAUUUUAAAGAUCUGCCUGCCGAUGGUCGCACUGUCCUGCAAACUCCCAGGGUCACCAAUGUACGUCCAGUUCCACCCGGUGAAUAUUACCAUAUUGGCUUAAAGAAGCAACUUCUGUCUGCCCUGGCAAAUCUCUCGUCUGUACCUGAAUCCUUGAAACUUGUCUUCAAUAUAGAUGGUCUGAAAGUUCAUAAGUACACCAAAUUUGAAUUUUGGCCUUUCUUAAUGAAAAUUAUUGACAUUCCAAUUCUCAAGCACUGUAUCAAUCCAAUUGGAAUGUACUAUGGUAAAGGCAAAGGAACCAUCCAUGACUUUCUCCAGGAAUUCAUGGAAGAAUUAACAUCUCUUCAGGAAACGGGUCUUAUGUUCAGAGAUGUGGUUAUUCGAAUUGAGGUGAUCGGCUUCAUUUGUGAUGCUCCUGCGAAGUGCUACUUGUUAGGAGUGAAAGGACAAGGUGGUUUUUGUUCGUGCACUCGCUGUCAAAUUCACAGUUUCACCUAUGAAGGCAGACGAGUUUUCCUGGAAUCUUAUUGUGAAGCGCGAACUGAUGCAGAUUUCAGAAAUGGAGUGGACAGAGAAUUCCAGCCAGAUGGUUGUUCCACACCUCUUGUCAACAUUCGUGGAUUGGAUAUGGUCAAAUCUAUAGUCAUCGAUACUAUGCAUCUAAUAUUUUUAGGAAUUGUCCGUACGCUUGUGGAUGCUUGGUACAAUGGUCCGAAACCAUUUAAGCUGUCCUCAAAUCUCAGAGGAAGGUUUUCUCAGGAUCUGUUCAGCAGCCAGGUUUAUGUGCCAAAAGAGUUUCCAAGGAAACCGAAAGACUUGAGUUCUGGAGCCCAUUGGAAAGCAACGGAGAGCAGAACAUUCUUGCUGUACGUUGGUCCAGCACUCGUGAAGAAAUAUUUAGAUAAUGACAAGUACCAUCAUUCUUUACUUCUUCACUCUGCAAUGACAAUUUUGCUGUCUCCAAUAUUCUGUCAAAGCAAGGAAAUGCUGCAGAAAGCAAAAAUGAGCCUCCAAGAUUUUGUAGAAUCAACGCCUCCUCUGUAUUCUGAAGCAUUCGUCACUCACAACAUUCAUAACCUGCUACAUCUAGUAGAUGAUGUGGAACAUUUUUCUCAGUUUUUCCAAUCAUUUUCAUUGAAUGAUAUUUCGUGCUUUCCAUUUGAAAACUAUUUACAAUGCAUCAAAAAUCUGGCCAGAGGUACAGCCAAAACUCUGCAACAAAUUGCCAGCGACUGCAUGAGAUUAUGA